rnacentral:tRNA from 1 species
ACUUAAAUAGCUUAUAUAAAGUAUAGCACUGAAAAUGCUAAGAAAAAUUUAUUUUUUUAAGUA